UACAGAGGAUGCAAGCGUUAUCCGGAAUGAUUGGGCGUAAAGAGUCCGUAGGUGGUAAUUCAAGUCUGUGGUUAAAGCGUGGAGCUCAACUCCAUAAGGGCCAUGGAAACUGAAUAACUAGAGUGAGGUAGGGGUAGAGGGAAUUCUCGGUGUAGCGGUGAAAUGCGUAGAUAUCGGGAAGAACACCGGUGGCGAAAGCGCUCUACUGGACCUUAACUGACACUGAGGGACGAAAGCUAGGGGAGCGAAAGGG
rnacentral:rRNA from 1 species